rnacentral:lncRNA from 1 species
CUGGUGGAAUUGAAAAUAACAAUAGCAAUUGCUUCCCUGCGUAUCAUCAUUACUACUGCCUAUAUCGUACCUAUAUUUUGAGUUUUCUGUGGAGAAUGAAUGGCUCAAGUUAAUGAAGCUAAUGAAAUAUCAAAAACCUACCAAAAAUAAAAAUGCCAUUUAUGUCUGCCUGUCACCACAUAGAAAGCUUUCCGAAAGACACAAUUCCUUGGUGAACCUAUUGUACUGCAUCAUAAAAGCGGAAGAAGGAGGUGAAAUCAACUUGCCGACUGUUUAGCUGUGGUAAAAGCUAUCAAAUCCAUGAAUCCAGGAACCUAUUCAAUUCUCAAGAACAUUUCUGUCAUAAUGUGGUCGGACCCGUUCACCAAGGAAGUUCGCAGUAAUCAAAGCAUUCAUUUUACUCCUAUUAUCAAGACAAAUUCUGACAUUUUACAACAUUCUACAGUCACAUAGAAGACUGGCUUAUGAUGGCGAAAGACUUUUGAAGGCGGUUACCUUGAUUGGGAUCAUAUCUAUUAAACCUUCGAAUCCUGCACUCAAAAGUAAAUGUGAUACCAUUCAAAUGGAAUAAGAUUGAUUUGAAUUGGAAUUUGUUAUUCCUGUAUCAUAGUGCAUUUUUCUACUAGUUACCCUACGUAUUGUACAUUAUUGUAAUAAAGCACUAGCUGUUCCAUAGUAGAAGUCUUUGAAAUAAAAUGUUUCUUUUU